rnacentral:rRNA from 1 species
UACGUAGGGUGCGAGCGUUAAUCGGAAUUACUGGGCGUAAAGCGUGCGCAGGCGGUUUUGUAAGCCAGAUGUGAAAUCCCCGGGCUUAACCUGGGAAUGGCAUUUGGGACUGCAAGGCUUGAGUGCGGCAGAGGAGACUGGAAUUCCUGGUGUAGCAGUGAAAUGCGUAGAUAUCAGGAGGAACACCAGUGGCGAAGGCGGCACUCUGGGCUGGCACUGACGCUGAGGAGCGAAAGCGUGGGGAGCGAACAGG